UACGUAGGGUGCAAGCGUUAAUCGGAAUUACUGGGCGUAAAGCGCGUGUAGGCGGCUUAGUAAGUCUGCUCUGAAAGCCCGGGGCUCAACCCUGGGAGGCGGGUGGAUACUGCUGAGCUUGAGUCCGGAAGAGGCGAGUGGAAUUCCUGGUGUAGCGGUGAAAUGCGCAGAUAUCAGGAGGAACACCAAUGGCGAAGGCAGCUCGCUGGGACGGUACUGACGCUGAGACGCGAAAGCGUGGGGAGCAAACAGG
rnacentral:rRNA from 1 species